rnacentral:misc_RNA from 1 species
AAAUGCGAUAAGUAAUGUGAAUUGCAGAAUUCAGUGAAUCAUCGAAUCUUUGAACGCACCUUGCGCUCCUUGGUAUUCCUUGGAGCAUGCCUGUUUGAGUAUCAUGAAAUCUUCAAAGUAAAUCUUUUGUUAACUCAAUUGGUUUCUACUUUGGUAUUGGAGGUCUUUGCAGCUUCACACCUGCUCCUCUUUGUACAUUAGCUGGAUCUCAGUGUUAUGCUUGGUUCCACUCGGCGUGAUAAGUUAUCUAUCGCUGAGGACACUGUAAAAGGUGGCCAAGGUAAAUGCAGAUGAACCGCUUCUAAUAGUCCAUUGACUUGGACAAUACUUUUAUGAUCUGAUCUCAAAUCAGGUAGGACUACCCGCUGAACUUAAGC